rnacentral:tRNA from 1 species
GAGAGAUGGCUGAGUGGCCGAAGGCAACGGUUUGCUAAACCGUCGUUCCGGGUUUCUGGAACCGGGGGUUCGAAUCCCCCUCUCUCC